UCCCCACUAAGGAGGUCCAUGUGGGACAGGAGGCCGACACGUUCAGGAGCCAGAAUCCUAAUCAUGCUAUAUGUUUUUUUGUUUUUGAGACUUAAAAUAAUGGUCAGUUUUUGGUGUUUUGUGUCAGCUGUCGGUGCCAUUCCUAGCAGACGUCAGGAAAGCCUACAUCACCCCUGCAGAGUACCUCCAGUAGAAGCUCCCCUCGGCCAGUCCGACUCUGACAGCCCUGUCUGCUCUGGACCCUCUUCUGAGAGGCCACUCACAGGUGUGCUGACCAGAGAAAUCCACUGCUGCACUCUGGAUGACACGUGGUUGAGAGAAAAAAAGUCAUAAUAUAGAGGACAUAACUACUUGGAAAAGCACAUAAACAAGCAGAGCCCUGGGGAUCAUAAAAGUGAGGACAGAGCCGGGUUUGUUCUCUUUCUGGAACAAAACAGACCCGAGCAGAAGAGACAACAGAGGAAACUCGGCUUCCAGUAUAAAAAAAAACAAAAAACCAUCGCCAUCCCAGGAAACUACGCCUGCAGCGCGGAAGUGCAAAAGCCUGCGAAAGCUGCCCUGCAGCGCUGCUCUCCAAAUGCCAGCUAGUAAUGUGCCACCUGUUUAACGCUGCAAAUUGACAUCCGCAAGCAGAGCGCUCUGCCUCCCUGCUCCAGCCAGAGCCUUUAUCCACAGGAAACCACCGGCUCAGUGGAGAAGACUGAUCACCAAGGACGAGCUCUCAGGCCUCACACACUGCGGUAACAGAUUACGCUUCUUCUUCUUUUGCCCCCUAACUGACAACGUCUUUUUUUGGUUUUUCAUGAUCUGCUCUUAUUGCACAGCUGGGUGGGCGUUGUUUAAGGAGUCACGCGUCACCUUGCCAGGGGGAGUCCGGCUUGCUGAAGGGAGAAAGCCGUUACAUCUUUAUUUCCUUCUUUCUUUUACUUUCCAAAUCUCAUUGUCAUUUUAUCUUAUGUCCUCUGUCUUGCUUGUCUCAGCAUAUAAAUGUUUUUGUGUUUUGCUCACACACACACACACACACACACACACACACACACACACACGCACACACAGUUUCCCCAUCCUGCUCUCCUCUCCUUCCUCUCUUUUUCUCUCCUCUCUGUCAAAUUCCAAUAAGCAUUAUUGCGAUAUGACUGUGUACGUUACAUUUUGGGUCCGUGUUUCUUGGUUGACGCAGCUUGGAGAGUGUAGUAGGAGACAG